rnacentral:ncRNA from 2 species
CGCUCAUCCAGAGUGGUGGAGGGACCGGCCCUGCGAAGCCCGGCAACCAGCGCGCUCGGCGCGCCAGGUGCCAAUGCCGGCGGACGAGAUGUCCGCACGAUGAGCG